UGGGGUGCAGCUCAGGGGUAGAUGCCUGCCUGCCUAGCACCCACAAGGCCCUGGGUUCAAUCCCCAGCACCACAA
rnacentral:tRNA from 1 species